GAUGAACGCUGGCGGCGUGCCUAAUACAUGCAAGUCGAGCGAACGGACGAUAAGCUUGCUUCUCUGAUGUUAGCGGCGGACGGGUGAGUAACACGUGGAUAACCUACCUAUAAUACUGGGAUAACUUCGGGAAACCGGUGCUAAUACCGGAUAAUAUUUUGAACCGCAUGGUUCAAAAGUAAAAGACGGUCUUGCUGUCACUUAUAGAUGGAUCCGCGCUGCAUUAGCUAGUUGGUAAGGUAACGGCUUACCAAGGCAACGAUGCAUAGCCGACCUGAGAGGGUGAUCGGCCACACUGGAACUGAGACACGGUCCAGACUCCUACGGGAGGCAGCAGUAGGGAAUCUUCCGCAAUGGGCGAAAGCCUGACGGAGCAACGCCGCGUGAGUGAUGAAGGUCUUCGGAUCGUAAAACUCUGUUAUUAGGGAAGAACAUAUGUGUAAGUAACUGUGCACAUCUUGACGGUACCUAAUCAGAAAGCCACGGCUAACUACGCG
rnacentral:rRNA from 1 species